rnacentral:rRNA from 1 species
GACGAACGCUGGCGGCGUGCAUAAUACAUGCAAGUCGACCUUAGUGGCGAACGGGUGAGUAAAACGUGGGUAAACUGCCCCUAAGAAGGGGAUACCACUUGGAAACAGGGUCUAAUCCCGAAUACUGAUGGAUGGACCCGAGGUGCAUUAGCUAGUUGGUUAGGUAACGGCUCAACAAGGCCACGAUGAAUAGCCGAUCUGAGAGGGUGAGCGGCCACAUGGGGACUGAGACACGCACCAAACUCCCACGGGAGGCAGCAUGAGGGAAUCUUCGGCAAUGGCCGAAAGUCUGACCGAGCAACGCCGCGUGAGUUAAGAAGUUUUUCGGAUCGUAAAACUCUGUUGUUAGAGAAGCGGUAUCUAACCAGAAAGCCACGGCUAACUACGUGCCAGCAGCCGCGGUAAUAC